CCUACGGGAGGCAGCAGUAGGGAAUAUUGCUCAAUGGGGGAAACCCUGAAGCAGCAACGCCGCGUGGAGGAUGAAGGUUUUCGGAUUGUAAACUCCUUUUGUUAGAGAAGAUAAUGACGGUAUCUAACGAAUAAGCACCGGCUAACUCCGUGCCAGCAGCCGCGGUAAUACGGAGGGUGCAAGCGUUACUCGGAAUCACUGGGCGGAAAGAGCGCGUAGGCGGGAUAGCAAGUCAGAUGUGAAAUCCUAUGGCUUAACCAUAGAACUGCAUUUGAAACUGUUAUUCUAGAGUAUGGGAGAGGUAGGUGGAAUUCUUGGUGUAGGGGUAAAAUCCGUAGAGAUCAAGAGGAAUACUCGUUGCGAAGGCGACCUGCUAGAACAUAACUGACGCUGAUGCGCGAAAGCGUGGGGAGCAAACAGGAUUAGAUACCCUAGUAGUC
rnacentral:rRNA from 1 species